rnacentral:rRNA from 1 species
GACGAACGCUGGCGGCGUGCUUAACACAUGCAAGUCGAACGGGCCCGCCCCUGUUUUUGGGGGUGGGUUGAGUGGCGAACGGGUGAGUAUCACGUGAGUAACCUGCCCCCUGCUCCUGGAUAACUGCUUGAAAGGGCGGCUAAUACGGGGUGUGCCGGCUGGUCCGCAUGGGCCUGGUCGGGAUAGUUUCAUCUUCGGGUGUUUCGGUGGGGGAUGGGCUCGCGGCCUAUCAGCUUGUUGGUGGGGUGAUGGCCCACCAAGGCGGUGACGGGUAGCCGGCCUGAGAGGGUGGGCGGCCACACUGGGACUGAGACACGGCCCAGACUCCUGCGGGAGGCAGCAGUGGGGGGUAUUGCACAAUGGGCGGAAGCCUGAUGCAGCGACGUCGCGUGAGGGAUGGAGGCCUUCGGGUUGUGAACCUCUUUCUCCGGUGGUGAAGGCCCUGUCCGUUGCGGCGGGGUUGACGGUAGCCGAGUAUGAAGCGCCGGCUAACUACGUG